UGGGGAAUUUUGGACAAUGGGCGAAAGCCUGAUCCAGCAAUGCCGCGUGUGUGAAGAAGGCCUUCGGGUUGUAAAGCACUUUUGUCCGGAAAGAAAUCCUUGGCUCUAAUACAGUCGGGGGAUGACGGUACCGGAAGAAUAAGCACCGGCUAACUACGUGCCAGCAGCCGCGGUAAUACGUAGGGUGCAAGCGUUAAUCGGAAUUACUGGGCGUAAAGCGUGCGCAGGCGGUUUGCUAAGACCGAUGUGAAAUCCCCGGGCUCAACCUGGGAACUGCAUUGGUGACUGGCAGGCUAGAGUAUGGCAGAGGGGGGUAGAAUUCCACGUGUAGCAGUGAAAUGCGUAGAGAUGUGGAGGAAUACCGAUGGCGAAGGCAGCCCCCUGGGCCAAUACUGACGCUCAUGCACGAAAGCGUGGGGAGCAAACAGGAUUAGAUACCCUGGUAGUCCACGCCCUAAACGAUGUCAACUAGUUGUUGGGGAUUCAUUUCCUUAGUAACGUAGCUAACGCGUGAAGUUGACCGCCUGGGGAGUACGGUCGCAAGAUUAAAACUUAAAUGAAUUGACGGGGUCAAGCUGUUCC
rnacentral:rRNA from 1 species